rnacentral:lncRNA from 1 species
ACAAAUUGGACUUUUCCAUUUUCGUUUCCGCUUUCUUCCGGUCUUAUUAUCACGCGCCUCUUGUCCGGAGAAAUUUCAGAUCUCUUCCGAGUCUUGACUCUUGAACGAGUGAAGGACUCGGUAGUCGUCUGUAAUAAUUUCGUCUUCUCUAGCUCAACCCGCUUUCUCCGCUUCUCAGCUCCAACCCUCCAAAUCCGGCCGCUAGAAUCUUGGAGCAGAUGGCUAAGAGAUCCGUUCCUCUCCUAAAGCAACUCCUCUCCUCAUCCACCUCCUCUCUCCGCGAGUCAUGCUCCUCUCGCCUCACCUCUCAACGAUCCGUCACCUACAUGCCCCGUCCCGGCGACGGUACUCCACGCGCCGUCACUUUGAUUCCCGGUGAUGGAAUCGGACCUCUCGUCACAGGCGCCGUCGAGCAAGUCAUGGAGGCGAUGCNNNNNNNNNNNNNNNNNNNNNNNNNNNNNNNNNNUUCAGGUGAUCGUGUCUCGGCAUAUUGUGGUUUUUUAAGAAGGGGGAGGGAAUAUGGUGUCGGUCUCGGCAUUCCUGCUGAACCGCUCUUCCGAUCUUAUAUUCAAAGGCUAUUUUCAUCCUAAAAUUUAUUAUAAAUUUUUAAUUGUAUUCACAUUGCCGUAUCAAUCAGUUUAACAAUUUAUUUAAUGAAUAAUUUUCAUAAUUCUCCAUUCCUAAUUUGUUUAGCAAUUUUUAUUCAUCAUUUAUAUAUUCCUUAACAAUAUUUUUCCACCAAUAAAUCGUUCAUAAUAUAAAUUGUAAUCAUAAAUUUUUUUUCUUAAAAAAUGGUUUAAUUGCUUAUGAUGACAUUAUUAAUUAACUUUUUAAAUUAGAAAAUUUUCUAAUUUAUCAAGCUUAAAAGGCAGUUAGGGCCGAAUUGGUCUUAUUCAGGGGAAAGAGCUUCGGACAGCAAGAAGCUUGCUAAAGCCAAAGUGGACCGGCUUAAUCAAGCCAUCAACCAUAAUUUGACCAUUUCUUACAUUAACCAAUUAGGUAAAAUAUAUUGAUUUUAUUAAGACCAAUCAAGCCAUCAAGGUCACAGGCUGACUAAUGAUCUUCCUAUUUUCUUCUUCUAGAGAAAAUAGGCAUUUACACAUUUAUAUUAUGUGAAAUUUACAUCAACAACGUUAUAUAUAAUUUAAAAUAAAAUGUUUUCUCGGAUGCAAACUAUACAACAACUUCAAUGUUCACAUUUAAUAUAGUUAUUAUACAAUUAAAUUAGAGGCGGAGAGUACAAUAUAAGUAUAUAUCCUCUAAUUUUUUUCUAUCACUUACUUUCUUUUUAAAGACGAGGAAUGCCCUAAAUUAAAUUAAAGAGACAGUUCGAGGAAUAUGUUAUCGUGAUGUAGCCAGUAGGAUAUGUUUUAUACAUGCGAGGAAAAGAAAUGUAAACCCAAAUCCAAAGAGUGACCAAGACUAACAAGAAAAUCAAAUGCGCAAUGAGUUGGUGAGUUGGUGGCUCAAUAGGAUUAUAGUUUAUGAAAAACUCGAUAAAUAUACAAUUUAGUUUAGAUUAGAAUAAUAUGAUUCCACAAAUUGGACUUUUCCAUUUUCGUUUCCGCUUUCUUCCGGUCUUAUUAUCACGCGCCUCUUGUCCGGAGAAAUUUCAGAUCUCUUCCGAGUCUUGACUCUUGAACGAGUGAAGGACUCGGUAGUCGUCUGUAAUAAUUUCGUCUUCUCUAGCUCAACCCGCUUUCUCCGCUUCUCAGCUCCAACCCUCCAAAUCCGGCCGCUAGAAUCUUGGAGCAGAUGGCUAAGAGAUCCGUUCCUCUCCUAAAGCAACUCCUCUCCUCAUCCACCUCCUCUCUCCGCGAGUCAUGCUCCUCUCGCCUCACCUCUCAACGAUCCGUCACCUACAUGCCCCGUCCCGGCGACGGUACUCCACGCGCUGUCACUUUGAUUCCCGGUGAUGGAAUUGGACCUCUCGUCACCGGCGCCGUCGAGCAAGUCAUGGAGGCGAUGCACGCUCCUGUCUACUUCGAGCGCUACGAAGUCCACGGGGACAUGAAGAAGGUGCCGCAAGAGGUCCUCGAUUCGAUUAAGAAGAACAAGGUCUGCUUGAAAGGAGGACUCGCCACUCCCAUGGGAGGAGGUGUUAGUUCUUUGAACGUGCAGCUGAGGAAGGAGCUUGAUUUGUACGCUUCACUGGUGAAUUGCUUCAAUCUUCCUGGAUUGCCAACUCGCCACGAGAAUGUUGACAUCGUCGUGAUUAGAGAGAAUACAGAGGGUGAGUACGCCGGC